UUCUAAUUCAAACGACUCUCUCUCUCUCUCUCUCUCUUUCUCUCUGUCUCUUAUCGUUGCAAUUGAGAGAAUCCAUUCGUUUCUUACAAUAAUAUUAUCUCAACAAAUGAGAUUCCUGACUACAAAAAUAAUUAGAGAUAUGUAGGAAGAUACAUGUGAUGUCGUGGACGAAGUUUUCUCACUAGCUGACAUGAUGAAGAGCCGACCCUUUUCAUGGAGUCACGCGCGAAAGAUGAUUUACUAAGUUUUGGGACGCUAUGACAAAGUAUUUCGUAAAUGAAUGCGGGACAAUAUCCUACUUUUCCAUAGAACUCUUAAGUAAUAAAUGGCGGAGAUGAUAAUUAAUUGUCAUCGGGAAGUUUCCAUGGAUCGUGCUUUGCUGCCCCGCCUAAUCAACGUCCGUUAAUUUGAUGGAUAAAUAAGGGUAGGGAAUCUUGUUGAAAGGUUUAUCACGAUAAAUCGUUCUGGCGGACGUCCUUUACUCUUCAGCGCAUCUAAUUGACAAAGGACACCGCCAACGUCUAAAUGAUGCUUGAAUAAAUCGGUUUCGCUGAUUAAUUAACGUCGCGCAAAUUAAAUAGCCCGCAAUUUUUCGAUGAUAACGCAAAUGCAUAUUGAAUAUUGUUUACAGAAUAGAUUGUUUGUACACUUAAAAGCUUGUUGUUUAAAUGUUUCAGCGUUUGUUACUCUAAUUUAAUUAAAAUAGAGUUUCCGAUUGGUCCGUCGUGCCGUAUGUUUUCAUUUCAUUUCGACAGUUUCUCAAAAUUGUUAUAAAAUAGAACAAUUAAUAGCACAAUUAAUUUUAAGCUAUUUUCUUGUUUAACUUCGGCUUUUGCGUGAGAAAUUAUAGCAAACUUUUUAUUCUACAAUUUUACGUGGGAAAUGUAAAGUUAUAUCUAAUAACGCAUAUAAUUGAGACAAUUAGAGAAAUAUUGGAAAAUUAUUUUAAAACAACUAAUGAAUUAAUUCAUUAGUUCAAUUGUUUCAAUUGUUUCAACAUCAUAAAGAAACUUUGCAAAUUUGAAUAAAAUAUUGAUGAGUCGUG